GCAGGAAAAGUCUUGGAUUCGGCUUGAGAAUAUGCUUGUUUUAUGUGGUGAUAAGGAAGAAGAGGAUGAGGAUGAAGAGGAGGAGGAGGAGGAAGAAGUAGAAGAGGAAGAAGAAGAGGGUGUUGCUGGAGAAGGGAGCGAUCAUUCAAGGCGAGUGAGUUGCGUGGGUAGUGUAGGUACAAAUACAAGUAG
rnacentral:ribozyme from 1 species